GAUGAAGAACGUAGCGAAAUGCGAAAAGUAGUGUGAAUUGCAGAAUUCAGUGAAUCAUCGAAUCUUUGAACGCACAUUGCGCCCCUUGGUAUUCCGAGGGGCAUGCCUGUUCGAGCGUCAUUAUAACCCCUCAAGCUCAGCUUGGUGUUGGGGCCUGCUGCACUGGCAGCCCUUAAAAUCAGUGGCGGCGCCAUCUGGCUCUAAGCGUAGUAAUUCUUCUCGCUAUGGAGUCCUGGUGGAUGCUUGCCAUCAACCCCCAAUUUUUCUAUGGUUGACCUCGGAUCAGGUAGGGAUACCCGCUGAACUUAAGCAUAUCAAUAAGCGGAGGA
rnacentral:misc_RNA from 1 species